AGCAGGUCUAAUCAUGAGCCGAUCCCCACAUUGUUCUGAAAAAUCGCUAAUUUUUGUACAGCAAUAUAUGUUGUCAAGUGAGCUUUCAACGGACAAUCAUGACAGCUGCCUUCAAAUAGGCUACACUUAUUGUUUUCAGUGUUUCGUUUCUUCUGAAGAACAAAAUUCCAUUUCGAGCUCAGGAAUAUUGAAACGUGACUCAAACUGAUCGAUUAUAUAACCAAAUAGGCACCGUUUAUCUACUGUAACACUUCUAUUGUUGGUUUUUUAGCGUAAUUUGUAUAUCUAUUACGCACAAAAAUAGUAGUUUCCGUUACUUUAUUUGUUAUCACAAUCUUUUAACAACCACAAUUCAUCUAAGCUAAAAAAUUGGCCAUGCGCAGGAAAAGAAAAAAAAGUAACCUUCCCGAAAGAUAUCGAAAUACCGUUAGUUGAAAGCGAUACCAUUUUCCAUGGAGAGCUCACUUUUCUUUGCAGUAGUAGUGGUCGGAUCAGUUUUACUACCGCUUGCCCAGAGCUUUCGGUGUUACAACUGCUCUAGUGUUCAACAGAAACAUUGUGGAUAUGAGUUCAACAAUACAAACAUUAAGCUUGUGGAUUGCCAAACGCCAAAAACGUGCAAGAAAGUACUACUGCCAACAGUUGGAGGUGGAUACGAACCAAUACAACGGGGAUGUUUAGACAAUGAGCUGUGUACACCCUUGAGUGUCUGCCUUUCCUGCGAAAGUGAUAUGUGCAAUUCUGCUAGUAACUUUCGUAUUACAUUACUAAUUGUUGUACUUAGUCUUAUAAAUCUUUUUUAUUGUUAAUGUUUCCUAAUACAUUUUUAUAUUAUCUUGCUUGAUUUUCACAUCGUAAAUCUUAUUUGGCACACCAGAUAGGCGGUUAUCAGAUAACGACUGAGUAAAUUUUCACGACAUACUAUGAGUAUUCAGGCCUAAACUAGGAUGUAUCGCAUAUGGUUGUUUUGCUGUCUACUUCAGUUCGGUCAAUCGUUUGAGUGCUAUCAAUGUAAUUCGCAGUUCAAUACGUUGUGCUUUAGUACCGAAUAUAAGGACUCCUUCAGAAAUGUGUCGUGCCCCGAAAAUGCCUGUGUGAUAGUACGCCCUCCAAACAAUCAUGGUAGCGAACAAUGGAUCAGGGAUUGCUACAAAAAGGAGCUCUGCGACGAGUACAGUGUUUGCAAAAAAUGCGAUGAACCCCUUUGCAACAGUUCCCCACGCAUCAGCUUAUCCGUGACAUACCUUUUAAUAUUUACAGCGCUUUCGUACUACUUCGUUAUGUGCAAUAAAAUCUUCCGCAAUCGAUCCAUUUGACCUAUCUGAUGAUGUACAAGGAAACCCGAAGUAAGAUAUCAAAUAAACUGUGAAAUAAAUGAAUAAAUAAAUGCAUAAACAAAUAAACAGCA